GCUUUGUGAGCUUGCUUCUGACUAACACAGACUGUUUUCACUAGGGAGCACAGGGACAAAAAGAGUUGUGAAGUUUUGAGUCUUUAGGAUUAUUCCUUUCAAGUCUGUGAUAACCUGUGAUUCUUCUCCCCAACUAUUUUCUAACCCUCCCCGACCUUUUCCACUUCCUUUCAUUUCGUAGUGACUACCAGAAAUUUACCAAGGAAGCUGCCAUGAAAUAACAUAUUUCUUUUAGAAAUACAACUGACUCAAUAGACAGCUAUGGAUGUGCUGUUAUUUUGGAGAUACAAGAGAAGAAUCAGUAGAGCUACCUUUUCUUGGCACUCCAAAAUGUGGAUUUCAAAACUGUUAGUUCAGAAAUGUUCAACUUUUGCUGCCCAUUGGAAUUACCCGGAGAGCUGUAAAAGGACACUGAUGCCUGGGCUGCACCUCCCAGAGGUCCUGAUUUGAUCAAUCCAAAGGAAGUCCUGGGCAGUAAAUUUUUAAAAGUUCCACAGCAUUUCUGAUGGCCUCACUGAUCAGGAGUCUGCAAGACCACCCUCAGGCUUCAUGCACUAAAAGGACUCACAGGACUCAGAAAAAGCUGUCAUACUCAUGUUUAUGGUUUAUUAGAGUGAAAGACUACAGAUUAGAGUCAGCAAAAGGAAAAGGUGGAUAGGGCAGAGUCUAGGAGAAACAGGACACAAGCUUCCAGUUGGCUUCUCCCAAAGGUGUUGCAUGAACAGCACUUAAUUAUCUUAGCAACAAUGUAACACAAAUGUAAAUUUUUGCAUCCUAUGAAUCUCAUCUGAGCCUUGGUGUCCAAGGAUUUUUAUUGGGGUUAGUGACAAAGGCAUGCAGCGGCUAUGGGACAACAUUAGCUACUCAGUCUCCAGCCCCCAGAGGUCAGUGUGGUUCAACAACUGAUGCAGUGCGGUUCAACAACUUAGACGACAAAAACACUCCUGGCAGGCAGGAGAUUUCAAGAGAGCUCAGAGGUCACCUCCUGGAUGUCAGCCAAGGACCAGUCCUUUUUUUUUGAAUGUGCAGGGUUUGAGUAACCCAAGACUGCUGUGUUAACCUUUUUCUGGACACCUAUAUACAUAUAUUUGUCUGUUCUUUGGCUUCUCCAUUGAACUGGGUAUUGCUGUUACUGUUUUUGCCUUCCUAGUUCCUCAUUAAUGGGCUAAAAUAAAUCUUUGACACAUU